UACGUAGGGGGCAAGCGUUGUCCGGAUUCAUUGGGCGUAAAGAGCGUGUAGGCGGCCAGGUAGGUCGGUUGUGAAAACUGGAGGCUCAACCUUCAGAGGUCGACCGAAACCAUCUGGCUAGAGUCCGGGAGAGGAGAGUGGAAUUCCUGGGUGUAGCGGUGAAAUGCGCAGAUAUCAGGAAGAACACCCGUGGCGAAAGCGGCUCUCUGGAACGGUACUGACGCUGAGACGCGAAAGCGUGGGGAGCGAACAGG
rnacentral:rRNA from 1 species